rnacentral:rRNA from 1 species
AAUCAACGCUGGCGGCGUGCCUAACACAUGCAAGUCGAACGAGAAGGUGACUUCGGUCACUGGAUAGUGGCGUCCGGGUGAGUAACACGUAGGUAAUCUACCUUCGGGUGGGGAAUAACGUCUCGAAAGAGACGCUAAUACCGCAUAAUGCAGCGGCACCUAAUGGUGAUUAGUUGUUAAAGCGGGGGAGUCUUCGGACCUCGCGCCUGAAGAGGAGCCUGCGGCAGAUUAGCUAGUUGGUGAGGUAAUGGCUCACCAAGGCUUCGAUCUGUAGCUGGUCUGAGAGGACGGCCAGCCACACUGGCACUGACACACGGGCCAGACUCCUAC